CCUAGAGUUGUAGGCUUUGCCUGCUAUCUCUUACCCAUGUCUUUUGAGUACCUUCGUUUCCCUCGGUGGGUUCCGCCCAGCCGAUUGGACAAAUUUAAUUAAACCCUUUGCAGUUGAAAUCAGCGUCUGAAAAAAACUUAAUAGUUA
rnacentral:misc_RNA from 1 species